GGGUGGGGCCCGUGCCCGCAGACUCGUCCGUGGACACUGAACUUUGGAUUCCAGGUAACUUCCGCAUGUCCUGAAAUAUUCUGAUUUUAGCUUUUUUCCCCCAGCCGUUUGGAAACACGGAAGAGGUUCUUAGCUUGGAGGCCGUACAGAAGCCAGCACAGGACACGCUGGGCCUGGCACGGUGGUCGGUGGACCCUGACUCGGGCCACAGCCCAGAUUUUAUACUCGUGGCUAAAACUGUGACUCCAUUGGAAAGAGAGGAAACGCGCUGCCCAUUUGCCAUAAAUGGCUAAAAUAGGUAAGACUGUUUACCUGCCUGCCAGAAGGAACACACGAGAACUACUCGGUCGUUGACAAGUCGCUUUAGCAUCCCUUACGUCGUGGCUACACGAGCACCACGUGAUUUAACGGAGUUUAGGUGUGUGAGCGCCACGUGUUAAAGGAUCGAGGGUACGCGCGCGCCACGUGACUCAACGGCGGACUUGGGGCUCCAGAUGGGCCACGUUUCCCAGGAUGACGGCCAAGUGCAUUCAGUGACUCGUGUGGUCACUGCAGUUUGAGGACAACACGUGCGAGAAGACCUUCCCUGGCCCCUGCCCAGGACUUCUUACUUCGGGCGUGCCCAGCUGCCAGGUGCGGCCACCCCCAGGCGCCUUCCCCGUGACCCGCGUCGGCCUCUGUCCCUGGCCCUGAACAAGGCUUCUUCUCUACUGAUUGAGACCAGAAGACUCGAGGGGGCCAGAGUCCAGGAGCACCCUCCCCCGGGAUCUGGGACGCUGCUCUUGGGAAAGGUGGAUACGUGUCACGUUUCCCAAAUGUGACAGAUGUCUUCCCUUUGUCACAGAGAACUUUCUGGACAUAUUUCACAGCCCAGUUCUUCUCUCCCACUGCAGAGCCACAAGGGCAUCUUCCUCAGACCUUUGUGAGGUGAUCUCAGGGCUCCUGGAAAUAAAGCCCCCCCUCCCCCAGCUCCCAGAAGCCCAGCGAGGCACCGCCCACCAGUUCCUGCCAGUUUACGGCUCCAGAAGCUUCUCCAGGCAGACCCACCCUGCCCACCCUGGCCUCCCAGACCUGCUGUCCCUCAAGGUUUCAGGGUGCUGGCUCGCCCUGCACGCUGGGCUCUCGGAAAAAUGGAAGUAAAUAAUCAACAAAAGCAAAACAUGCCCCUAACGGGUGUGGCCGACAGUGUGUGAAACUCGUGCUCAGGAAGAUCUCGUUUGCCCAGCGCUCCGCCCACGGCAGCUGAGCCUUGAGCAGGGAGAAGCGGGCACGUGGGGCAGGGUCCCCGCGUGGGGGCUUGUGGAGUCCGUCAUCGUGGGGAAUAAGCCGGGCUGGGAGCAGCCCAGGAACUCAGCGUGGGGCCCGUCCCCUCGGGAGCCGGAAGCCGGGUCAGUGUCCCCUCCGGGCUUUGUCCUGCGUCUUCUCUCCCGACCCCGCACCUGCCCUCACCACCCCCUGAUGUCUGCCAAGCCUGGACUGGCAUCUGCCUCUCUCCAAGGAGGCCGUUCCGUGAAUUGAGUUCCUGGGGCCACCGGUGCAGGCAGCGUCCCAGUAAGCGAUGAUGGCUCAGCCCUGAGUGUUGGGACGGGGGGCGUGAGGGGCCCGGGGCUGACAAAAUCUCGCAUGCUCUCCUCUGGUUGUGGGAAACAAACUCUCGAUGUCUGUGCCUUGCUUUCUUCUAAACUUAGAAUGACUGUUGAUGAACUUACUGUAAAUAAACCUUGGCAAUGUGUGCAAUAAUUAGUGAAAAAUAAAUGUGUACUUAAGUAUUAAUGAAAUAAAUAUUUAGCAGGUUAUUUGGGAUCUUUGCUGUAUCCUCAAACGUUUAAUAAAU